UUCGGGCAAAGUGAGGACCAAGUCUUGAUUUUUUUUAAAAAGAGUUUCUGAAGAUGAUAGAAACGGAGAGGAAUAUCUUCAACUUGAUAAAGAUCACCCACCAAAGCAUUCAGCUAAGUUUGCACUUGAUUGUGAGACACAGAAUACUUUCCUGCUAAGAUCCGCAAGAAGGCAAAGAUAUCUGGUCCCAGACACACAGAUCAAUGGAUCAGAAUAGAGAGCCUGAAAGAGACUCACACAGGCAUGUACAAUUGACUUUUGACAAAGGUGCAAAGGCAUUCAGUAGAGUAAAGACACUGUUUCCAGAAAUGGUGCCGAAGCAGUUGGAUGUCCACAUGUGACAAAAAUGAACCCAGACUUAAGUCUUGCACACCAUAAAAUGUUAACACAAAAAUAGAUCAAGAACUUACAUGGAAAAUGUAAAACUAAAUUUAAAAGAAAAAUCCUCACCAUCUAGGACCAUGCCAAGAGCUCUUGUAUUUAACACCAAGCGUGCAGUGUAUAAAAGGAAAAUAAUAAAUUGGAAUUCAUUGACUUUUUAAAUUAAAAGAAAAUGCUUUAUAAAUAAAUACCUGCUUGACAAGAAACAUCAGUCUACAGCAGAAAAUAGAUGGUUCAGCAGGUGACAUGAUUGCUAUGCAUCAUGAGGACAUGAAUUCCAAUGCCCAACACCUAAGCCUAUAACCCCAGUGCUGGGGGGAGGGGCGGUCAUGAACAGGCAGAUCCCAGGGUCCACUAGCCAAGCAGUAUAGCAAAAACAGUGAUCUCUAGAUUCGGUGAGAUCCCUGGCUUAAAAAAUGAAUGAAAAGGGGAUAACAUUUGAAAUGUAAAUAAAGAAAAUAUCUUAAAAAAAAGAACCAAGCAAGUGGAGAGCCGUUGAGAAAGGCACCCAACAAUAACCUCUGGUCUUAGUAAUUACAUUCAUAAGCAAGGGCUCCCCACACACAUGUGCAUAUACAGCCACAUACAACAAAUAAAUAAACAAAUAAAUAAUCUAGGGUGGACACCUCCAAGUACUGGGAUACCAGCCUGUGCUAUCACACCCAACAUGCAAACAAAAUUUACAUUUUCAAAGUCCCACUCGCUACACUUAAAAUGCCAUCAGCUCUACUUAAAGCCCUUUAGGUUUUCAAUCUUGAAAAGUAGCACUCUGAAAAAGGUUGGUGAGAAAUGAAGCUGUCACUGCUUUCUUUAAGAUGAAAUUGUUAAGUCAGUUGUGGUAGCACGAGCCUGUCAAGAUGCUGAAUUCCUUGACCAGCCUAGGCCACAUAAUACAAUCCUAUCUCAUAAUCACAAGAGAGAGCUGAGAUAGAGACAAAGUUAGGUAGAAAGAUCAGGGAAGAGAGCGGGAUUGGCAAAUUAGCUGAUGGGAUUCACUGAUGACAAUUGGACUAUUGGACUUUUGUAUCAUGGUAGUUACUGGCUAUUAAAGAAACACGGAUAUACAAAAAUAAAUAAAUAAAAAUGUUUUAAUUGGUAUUUUUUAUUCCAAAUUUUUAUCAAAACAGAAGUGCCAGUUCCCUGUGGCUCUUACCACCACAGGGCCACCUGUGAUUUUAUUGAGCCUUGCCUUGUCAAAAUGACUGUCCCUUUUACAACACUCAAGUGGAAGCUGUGUCUUUCUGUAAUGUACCCUUCACACCAUUUACUCAUUUCUCCACUUAGCAAACUGUUAGCGAGCACUCACUGUGCGCCAGACAUUGCUCCAGAUACUAGAUUUUCCAAAACUUUACAACUUUCUGCUCCUCCCACUACUAAUCCUUAUGUGUUUGUAGUCCUGCCCCCUCAUCUCUUCUGCAAGCUUCUGUAAUUUUGCUAUCAUCAUGCCAAGAAGGAGGGCAAACUGGUGAUGGAUUCUGUAGGGACAGGAGGAAACUACUCUUGUUUCUUCCAGUUUAAGAGAAAUGGCUGGUCUAUUGUCUUCCUUCACAUAUGGAUCAGACUUUCUUAUGACUCUGACCAUUACUGUGCAUCAAGGUUCAAGAACAGUGAACUUUAGAAGGCGAUCUGAAUGAUUAUCUACAACACUAGAGAAGGUAUUAUUUGGGUGUGUCUUUAAUUGUAUUUUUACAUGUGAGUUAUGUGUGAGUCUGGCAGACUAGCUGAAGAAAUUCUACCCUCACUGUGAACAGCAGUAUCCAACAUACCGGUGUUCUCAGGAGAGUAAAUAUGAAGGAAAUUAGCAUCUUUUACUGAGAACUGAGAGGGGGUGUGUCUGCUUGUCUCCCCACUAGGGCAUUAGAACUUGGAAUUGCCAACCUUUGAACCCUGACUAAAUCCUUAGCUCCUCCACAGAAUCACAGGCUUUUGGCCUCAAACUGAGAGUUCCAUCAUCGGCUUCUCUGGCUUAGAGUCCUCUAAAUUUGAACUAAAUUAUGCUGCUAGUGUCCCAGGAUGUCUGUGUUGUAGGUUAUCUGCUAUGAGACUUCAAAAUAACCCAUAAUCAUCAGCCCAUGUCUGAGGAACUCUCUCAUACAGCUGCAUACAUCAUCUAUGGCUUUUGUCUCUCUGGGUAGGCCUGACACAAAACCUCAGUUACAUUAUUCUUCUAGAAUCUGAAGCCCCACCUUCUAGAUCUGAGUUUUCUUCAGAUUUUCAAUGCUCUACAGAGAGAUUCUCUAAUGAUGGAGAAGCUUAUUAAUUAUUACUGUGGUGAAGUAUUGUAAUAGAAAUGUAUGUUUCUGUUACGGGACAAUCUGGCUUCGGCAUGAACAUCAAGGGAGCCUAAGAGAAACACACCAGGAAAAGAUCUGAGAAGAAUCCUAAGGAAAGCUCUACCAUAUAGCUGUGGUGGCAUAGAAUGGAAUGAUGGACUGGUUUGUCAGGUAGCUUUAGUAUUUUAAUAAAUAUCAAUUCUUACUAAAUUCAACAAAUGCUACUUCCAUUGGCUUUCCCAUGUCUAUAGCCAGCUAGUCUGAUACUGGCUAUAGAAGUGGGACAAUCUCUUCUUGACCUGUCUUCUUCUUUAAAGUCAGUGAGGUUGCAUCUCUAACCAUUCCACUGUAAUCACAUUUCUU
rnacentral:lncRNA from 1 species